GAAAUAAAGGAAAUGACUAAAAUUCCAUUAAAGCAAGAAUGCUGAAGAAACCACCCCUUCCCUGAAGAAGCAUCUUGGCUGGCAGGUGCCAUUCUGCUUCCUGAGAACUGGAUGAAAAUCUUCCACCAGAGCAGAGAUCCUGUUUAAGAAGCAGGAAACUGUUGGUGAGUCUGGAAGAGUGGGACAAACUAAGCAGAGCGGGCCAUUGACAAUGAUGAAGCGGAAACAUCCUGAGAACCUUGCAUGCUGAAGUAAGAAAUGCUGACAAAUAAGAUCCUGUGAAGAGCUGUGAAA
rnacentral:lncRNA from 1 species